rnacentral:lncRNA from 1 species
GCACUAUGAAACCUAUUUUAUUUUAUAUUUAUAACAAGCUUCACGUAAACCAAGCACAUAUUGUUAUUUCCAUUUAACAGAUAAUCAAAUUGUAAUCUGCAAACAGUAUGUUACAAAGUUACUUUCAUAAAGACAGUAAGCUAGAAUCUAGAACUGCUGUAUCUUAGAUCGGAGCUUUUUCUUUUAUUUCAUGCUACCUUCCUGCAUGAUGAAAAUCCAAUCAACUGUAUCCCUAAUUGGCUGGUAUUUGGGACCAAUACCAAAUUUUACUCUAACUACACUCAAUCCUAGAAAAAUCUACCUAAGUGAAGCAUCAGCAUUAAAAACAAACAUAUUAACAUUGCACUUGGACUAUCUAUGUGGGGAAUGAGAAGAGAUCUUUGAAAAUCUGCUCUACAUCUUACAAACGAGAAAAUUGAAAUGGAAUGUUUCCCUGUUUUUAAACAGGGUUUUUCAUGGUGGCGUGGACCUUCGGCUCUUCUGUUGAGCUGCAUCUUCAAACUGUGAAGGACUUGAAAUGAAUCACUGGAGACCACCCAACAUCUUUCAGACGUUUAGAUUAAACUCAAAAGCAUAGAAGUGUUCUUAAUAGCUAAAAGGUUAAUACUUUUCAAAUCCCGGGUCAGACUACCCCAGGAGAAAGCCAGAGACACUCUGGUGACCUGGAAAUCCCACAGGCCCCCAGGUGACGUCCCAGGGCUGCUCCUCCACAUUCCACACAUUUUGCUGUCUGGCAAUACCAUGUCAGUUUGAAGCGGAAUGCAGGCUCACACUGUCCCACAGCUGAAAUUCUCCUCCUAAACUGGAAGGGAAAUAGCUCCAAAAACUCAAAUAGCUCAUACAUACGUGUUUAUAAAUACAUGGAUUAUCUCUGGGAGAAAACGUAAAAACUGGUCAUUAUGAUUGCCUCUAGGAAAGAAAGCUGGGUGUGUGGGGGACAUUCAAAGAGAGGAGACGUACUUUUCCUUACCAACUCCUUGUACUUUUUCAAUUUAGAAGGCUAUAAUGUAUUCUUAUGUAUUAAAAAAAUAUGUAUAUUGCAAGUGA